rnacentral:rRNA from 1 species
GACGGAGGAUGCAAGUGUUCUCCGGAAUCACUGGGCGUAAAGCGUCUGUAGGUCGUUUAAAAAGUCUACUGUUAAAAAUUGAAGCUUAACUUCAAAGAUGCCGUAGAAACUUUUAAACUUGAGUAUGGUAGGGGUAGAGGGAAUUUCCAGUGGAGCGGUGAAAUGCGUAGAUAUUGGAAAGACCACCAAUGGCGAAGGCACUCUACUGGGCCAUUACUGACACUGAGAGACGAAAGCUAGGGGAGCAAAUGGG